UACGGGGGGGAGCAAGCGUUGUUCGGAUUUACUGGGCGUAAAGGGCGCGUAGGCGGCCACCGCAAGUCAAUUGUGAAAUCUCCGGGCUUAACUCGGAAAGGUCAACUGAUACUGCGGGGCUAGAGUGCGGAAGGGGCAACUGGAAUUCUCGGUGUAGCGGUGAAAUGCGUAGAUAUCGAGAGGAACACCUGCGGCGAAGGCGGGUUGCUGGGCCGACACUGACGCUGAUGCGCGAAAGCCAGGGGAGCGAACGGG
rnacentral:rRNA from 1 species